rnacentral:rRNA from 1 species
UACGUAGGGUGCAAGCGUUAAUCGGAAUUACUGGGCGUAAAGCGUGCGCAGGCGGUUGUGUAAGACAGAUGUGAAAUCCCCGGGCUCAACCUGGGAACUGCAUUUGUGACUGCACGGCUCGAGUCCGGGAGAGGGGGGUGGAAUUCCCAGUGUAGCGGUGAAAUGCGUAGAUAUUGGGAGGAACACCGGUGGCGAAGGCGGCCCCCUGGACCGGUACUGACGCUGAGGCGCGAAAGCGUGGGUAGCAAACGGG